AGGCAAAACACGAAGCAGCAGAGCAGCGGGCUUCUCUGCCACCGUGUUCUCUGCAUCUCGGAGCCUCUGGGGAGCAACAAGAAUUUCCAAGGUGGUGUAAGAGCCCGUCUGAAGCCCCUCAUUUUCCGUUCUGCCUUCCAAUUGCCACGAGAAAGAAUCCCUUCCUCCACUGCAGUUCCGGCUUAGAACAGGACACAGUGCAGGUGCAACCACUGAACCGUCAUGCUAGCUGUUCCGAACAAGGCCUGGCAAGAACUUGGCAAGGAGUUGGCAAGGACUUGGCAAAGACCUGACGUGGACCCAGCACGGGACAGCCUGAUGCGCGGCCUGCUUCUAAUCUCCGUUCUUAAGCCAAAUGAACUUUUGGGGUGACUCCCGGGGUCCUUCAUUGAAGACCCCUCAUCUGCCUCAUUAACAGUGUGACAAACAAAGAAUGAGAACCCUCCUCCCAAGGACUGAGACUGAGACCCCUGCUAUAGGGAGGAGGGGAAAUUGGUGGUCUGACCACUAAUGACAUGACCUGUUUCCCUUCAGUGAUUCAAAUGGACUUAUUCUUCAUUGGAUUCGUCUUGCUUUGGUGGUUUCUGUGGACUCUCCUCUUCCCGCGUGGCGAUUACAAUGGACUUUCGUUGUUACACUUGUUCCCCCCUCUUUCCUCUGUGGACUAUAACUGGAGCCCCGAGUCGACCAGAACUUCGGAGAGUCCCCCGACACGACAGACAGAACCCCAUCGUCCGGACCACUGAGGAUCUCGCCUGUGUUGGUAGCUAUUCCCAUACCCCUCUUCUCUCUCUCUCUCUCCUUUUAUCUCCUUUCCGAUCCCCACUAUCGCAUUUACUGUUUUGGCCCUAAUAAAGGUGCAUUUGUUGUGAUUAA